AUGAACGCUGGCGGCGUGCCUAAUACAUGCAAGUCGAACGCUUCACAUUUGUGAAGAGUGGCGAACGGGUGAGUAAUACAUAAGUAACCUGGCCUUUACAGGGGGAUAACUAUUGGAAACGAUAGCUAAGACCGCAUAGGUGUCAUAACCGCAUGGAGAUGAUAUGAAAUAUGCUACGGCAUAGGUAGAGGAUGGACUUAUGGCGCAUUAGCUAGUUGGAGGGGUAACGGCCCACCAAGGCGACGAUGCGUAGCCGACCUGAGAGGGUGACCGGCCACACUGGGACUGAGACACGGCCCAGACUCCUACGGGAGGCAGCAGUAGGGAAUUUUCGGCAAUGGGGGAAACCCUGACCGAGCAACGCCGCGUGAAGGAAGAAGUAAUUCGUUAUGUAAACUUCUGUCAUAGAGGAAGAACGGUGCGUGUAGGGAAUGACAUGCAAGUGACGGUACUCUAUAAGAAAGCCACGGCUAACUACGUGCCAGCAGCCGCGGUAAUACGUAGGUGGCGAGCGUUAUCCGGAAUUAUUGGGCGUAAAGAGGGAGCAGGCGGCACUAAGGGUCUGUGGUGAAAGAUCGAAGCUUAACUUCGGUAAGCCAUGGAAACCGUAGAGCUAGAGUGUGUGAGAGGAUCGUGGAAUUCCAUGUGUAGCGGUGAAAUGCGUAGAUAUAUGGAGGAACACCAGUGGCGAAGGCGACGAUCUGGCGCAUAACUGACGCUCAGUCCCGAAAGCGUGGGGAGCAAAUAGGAUUAGAUACCCUAGUAGUCCACGCCGUAAACGAUGAGUACUAAGUGUUGGGAGUCAAAUCUCAGUGCUGCAGUUAACGCAAUAAGUACUCCGCCUGAGUAGUACGUUCGCAAGAAUGAAACUCAAAGGAAUUGACGGGGGCCCGCACAAGCGGUGGAGCAUGUGGUUUAAUUCGAAGCAACGCGAAGAACCUUACCAGGUCUUGACAUCGUAUGCAUAGUCUAGAGAUAGAUGAAAUCCCUUCGGGGACAUAUAGACAGGUGGUGCAUGGUUGUCGUCAGCUCGUGUCGUGAGAUGUUGGGUUAAGUCCCGCAACGAGCGCAACUCCUGUUGCCAGUUGCCAGCAUUAAGUUGGGGACUCUGGCGAGACUGCCGGUGACAAGCCGGAGGAAGGCGGGGAUGACGUCAAAUCAUCAUGCCCCUUAUGACCUGGGCUACACACGUGCUACAAUGGACAGAGCAGAGGGAAGCGAAGCCGCGAGGUGGAGCGAAACCCAGAAAACUGUUCUCAGUUCGGACUGCAGUCUGCAACUCGACUGCACGAAGUUGGAAUCGCUAGUAAUCGCGAAUCAGCAUGUCGCGGUGAAUACGUUCUCGGGCCUUGUACACACCGCCCGUCACACCAUGAGAGUCGGUAACACCCGAAGCCGGUGGCCUAACCGCAAGGAAGGAGCUGUCUAAGGUGGGACUGAUGAUUGGGGUG
rnacentral:rRNA from 1 species